UCUCCGUAGGUGAACCUGCGGAGGGAUCAUUACAGAGUUUAUGCCCUACCGGGUAAAUCUCCCACCCUAUGUUAUUAUUACUUUGUUGCUUUGGCGGGCCGUUAGGCUCCGGCCCGACUACCGGCCCCGGCUGGUAAGCGCCCGCCAGAGGACCCAAAACCCUGAAUAUUAGUGUCGUCUGAGUACUAUAUAAUAGUUAAAACUUUCAACAACGGAUCUCUUGGUUCUG
rnacentral:misc_RNA from 1 species